rfam:Lactobacillus backii strain TMW 1.1989, complete genome.
CCAAAGCUGCAACCGCACGAAGCGAGUUUUUAAGUUUCGUCUGAACACUUGUAUUCGGCGAGUCUAAGAUAUUAA